GCCUACGCCGCUUCCCUCCCGCUGGAAGAGGCACCGGCAGCCGGACCACAGCCGAAAGAAAGAAAUGCAACUUGAGCUGGUUGAAAAUGGCCCAUCAGCAGGACCAUCACUGGACCAGCAGCAUAAAGCCAUGUCUUCAGGACAAGGGGGAACGUUUAAAAUUAGGGAGGCCCUCGAGAAAACACCGGAGAGUAGAGAGAUAAUGUGCAGUCUUGACACCAAACGGUGCAUCUCGCUCAAGCAGAGGAGGUCUAUGGUUAGAAUCCUAGUGUCACAUCUCAUGGAGCGGUUCGGAGAGACUCCAGCAUUGGAAACAAGGAAAACCUGGCCUCAUCUUUAGUGACGGAAUUUCCGUAUCUAAGGGAUCAGCAUGGGAACGGCAAUGAGGCGUGGUAUAGUCCAGGUCGAACUCACAGACCAGCAACUGGCUUCGUUGAAGAGCGUUUAAGAAAUGUACGGAAGAGGCUCCGUAGUGGAAAGUGCAGACCUAGCCCUGUGGAGAACCCUGUAACUAAUUGGUAUUGCCAGAGACUGAAAUAUCUGAUGAGAGGGCAGUGGCGAUGACGGAGUGGUUAAGAAAUAACAUCCGACCCCUUAACCAAGUAGAAGAAUACAUGAAGCAGACAGCCAUCCACAGAGCUAAGUGGAUAAGGGAGCAUGGGUCAAAGACAGUGGAGGAGGUCAAAAAAGAGCAUCCACGUCUUUUGGAUACUCCAGGAAUGAUUGCUCAGGACUUUGCCAUUCUACACCCAGCCUGUGCUGGGAAACUUGGAUAACUGGCAGAAAAGUGGAUGCCCGUUUUCAGAGACAGAAAUUUAUGGUUUGCUAGCCAGGAGAAGCAAGCUUCUGGAAUUCUUUCAAGACUGGAUUCUGUGUGUGCAGAUGCGCAAGGUGACAGGGCUGUGAGAUUAUUGCCAGUAGUCCUACCAGCUUCUGUCUAUAGGAUUCUGCCGGAAGACCUUCCGUCUGAGCUGUGAAGAGACAAGAAAGUCAUUCAUUGAUCUACAGCCUACGGAAAAAACCUGAGCUCGCUACGGAAAUUCCUGAGCGGUACCGUGUGACGUCACUGGUGGACAACAGUGAACAGCGCCGCAGUACAACAGCAUUAUGACUGACUGGGACUGAGGAUUUUCCAGCGCUGGUUCUUCAGAUUCUGAUGAUAAUUUGAAAGAGCUGUAAUGUAGAAAUAGACCACCUUAUCACUUAGUCCUGAGACUUUUAGUCAAACCACACCCACAAAAGCAGCUCAUCCUGAGUGUAAACAGUAUCAUGACAACAGCCUAGCAACCAGCUAAACUCAAAUAUAGAGAUUGGGACUAAUAUGGUGGAAUACGUGUCCGAGGCCACAAGACCAUACCCAUUCGUUUUGGCUCUAGGAUUAUCAUAGGUGAUGAUCAGCGUUGUUCCCAGUGUUUUGCGGUCAUCAAUGGACAAGCUAUGGAGCAGAGCACACUCGUGGGAGCCGUUGAUGUGUGUUUUAAGGCGUUCUUUGUAUUUGAUAUAAACUACCCCCGACAGUGUUCUUCAGACUGUUGUUUAUGAGCUACCAGGUCAUGAAUCUCCCUCCUUAAGACUCUUGCGGGCAUUUAUUUUUGCCACAGAUCAGUGACAGCUCCCAGAAUGACGCCAUGUGUGUUACCUCUUUUUAUUUUAUUAAUUUCUCAAGCAAAAGAAAAUUUGUUAUUGAAUAAGGUUGCUUGUAAUUGUUGUU